UUCUGUUUUAAGGGCACAAUGUGUUAAACAUCAGAAGUUAAGUUAUUUUUAUUUGUUUUUAACUUAAACUUUCUUUUCCAUUAUUUUCAUUGAGUUUGUUCAGUAAUUUUAAAAAUCUAAUACAUUUUAUCUAUCAUUGCAAGGUUUUAACUCGUAGCAUGAAAGCUGAAAAAUAGAUUUUUGCUUCAACGAAUGCUAAUCAUUAACAAGUAAAUGUUAAAGCGCUGUCAUUGCACUGUGUUAACUCUGUUGCGGAAGAACCGACUUUUUCUAACUUUAUAUGUGCUUUAAAACUAGGCUAUUUUUAUAGCCACUAAUAUGUUAAAAACAUUACUAAGCAAAUGGGAAUACAAUCAUUUA